GCAGUUGGUAUCUCAGUGGCAGAGUGCAUGCUUUGUGUGUAUGACGUCCCGGGUUCAAAUCCCAGCUGCUCCC
rnacentral:tRNA from 1 species